GUCUCUGGCGGAGCUAACGUUGCGUAGGCCUGGCAAGUUGCUGAAAGGUCCAGACGCAGCGUCGGGCUUAUCAAAGGCGACCUGUUUCCGGCGCUGCGCGGUGUCAGCGGUGGAGUUAACAUAGGUGGCGAUACAGUUUUUUGUUGGGCAUUGCAUCGGAGAUUCACCAUCGGUGUUUUCCAAACUGCCGACGCACUCGUCGUCGCCGACGGUGGUUGUUCUCCUGUGGUGAAUUCAGUCGGAAUUUGUGUCCCGACGAGAGCUCCAAUCUGGUGUGCCAAAUUCAACGCCAUUUUUUGAAUUUUUUUCGAGUAUGUAACAGAAUAAAAGGAAAAAGGGGGUGAAUGUUCCUCAAAGAAACGUUUUUUUUUCUUUUUUGCUUUUUUUUUGUCUUUUUUUCCUUUUUGCUUUUUUUUUUCGGUUUCGAGUUUUCAGUUGGGAUACGUUUCAGACUUCGAAUGUGAGCGUUCAAUUUGAAACGGAUGAAGAUACUGAGUAUUUAUAGAAACGAGAUUAAAAACCCGUUAGGUUCUCGACACGUGGCUCAUCGCUACGUGGCGGAAGCAGGGGCAAUUGAGGGGCUACGGUUACGAUUGAUCGAUUCAUGAGAGGAUGGACGGUUGGUUGAUGCGCGUGAAAGUUCCAGGGCAACACGGUUUUUAUGGUGUAAACAAAAGGAUUUAAACAGGAUAGCGAUUGAGGUAGAGACACGUGGUCCAGAAGGAACAAUUCACGUGUCCGAUCCUUUCGGCUCGAGGCAUGACAUGAGAGGAUUUUGUAUUUUUAUCUUCUUUGUUUCUAAGGCUGCUUUGACGUCCACGAAAGUGGUAGACAAGGGAGGCGGGAGACACGUGGAAGGGUUGGAAGAUAAGUAGGACGGCGGAUAAUGCCAUCAUCUGUUGGUUUAAGACACGUAUGGACCGAAUAUUGGGUGAUUAGACUAUCAGUGGUGGAAAAUGAAGUUGAGAUCUGACCUGAUUCGUUUGAUUGAAAAUUGGUGGUUCUGAAUUCUGAUUCAUUUGUGGGACCAACCGUGAAUCUUGGGUACAUUGUGGGAACUACUGCCAAACUCCUUGGAGGAUUUGUAACUUGAUGGGACACGCAACUGGAAAGAGAUUAUUACGAUAAUCUUAAACAAAGAAAAGAUUUAAAUAAAAAUUUUCAGCUAAAAUUUGUAAAAAUUUUUAUUAAAAACAAUUAAAUUAAAAUUAAAAUUAAAAUUAAUAUAUUAAAAAAUUUUGUUAAAUAAAUUAAGUGUGUAAAAUUUAAAAAAUUUUAAUAAAUUUAUAUAUAUUUUUAGAUAAAAAUUUUUAAUAAAAAUAUUGAUAAAAUUUUUAUUGUCAAAUAAGUAUCAAUUAAAUUUGAAUCAUAAAUUAGUUUUUUAAAUAUUUUUUUUGCAUAUUAUUGAUCUUUUCAUUAAAUUUUCUCAAUCUAUCAAUUUAAAUUUUUUAUUAAAAAAUUUUAUUAAAUUAUUUUUUAAAAAAAUUUCAUAACUUUUAUUUAAAAAAUUUUAUGUAAAUUUUAUCCGUAAUAACAAAGUUUUUUUUAUAUAAAUAAAAUUGGAUCUAUUCAUAAAAAAGUAAAAGUAUGUAAAAAAAAAUUAAGUUUGAUACAUUAAGUUUUACAUCCAUAAAAUUUUUAAAAAUAAAAAAAAAAGCCAAUUAAACACCGGAUUGAGUAAAAAUUUAAUUUCUAAUGCAUUUAAAUAAAAAAAUUUUGUCUAAGGGCAAGCAAACUUUUAAUUUAAUAUUAAAUUACUAUAACCUUAAAUUUUAAAUCUUUUUAGAAGUCUCACAAUCUAAUUGAAUUCCAAAAAUCAUCAAGGUGCACUCGAGAUUGAUUAAGAGACAAUUUAAAUAAAAAAAAAUCCCUAUAUUCAAAGAUAUGAAUUUGAAAAAAAUUCAAAUUUGAUAUUUGUUGGAUCUAAAAUCUAUAAAAUCUAAAUUUUAAAUUCAAAUAGAUUGGUAGUUGAAAUUAUAAUUAACCCAAAACUCAGCAAAUUCAAAACAAAUUGAAACUUGAAUAAAUCAAAACUUAAUUUAGCAUUUCUGAUGAAAGUAGUUUUGCAUUCAAAAACUGUUCUUAUCCAACAUUAAUGCUAAACAAAAAAAAAAAAAAAAAAAGCUUUUCAAUUUAAAAUUUUAGUUUUGCAAUAAAAAAAUUACUUAAAAUGUGUUUUGUAGUAAAGAAGUGUUAAUUUUUUUAAUAUUUUAUUUGUUUAUACAUUUUUAGAUAUUUUAAGUACUCUUAACAUUUUUUCAUAACAAUAUUAAAUAUUUAAAAUUUUUAAUAAUAUUUUUCUUAUGGCUCACACUUCUUUCAAUCACAAUAAUAACACUAAAUUAAUUCUUAAUAAAAAAAGUAAAAACUUAAAAUGAUAAAAGCUAAAACAAUUCAAAUUUGAAUUGUUUGAAUAAAAAAUUAUUUGAAUUUAAAAUAAUCCAAAUGGAUAAAUAGAUAACUCUAACUUACUCAAUCAUCAACUCCUUUUGUUUUGGAUUUGGUAGACAAUCUUAAUAAGAUGUUUUUUCUUUGUGAUUUAAGUUGGUUUCUUAUGAUGUUACACAUGUUUCAUUUUCUUCGUCUAAUAAUAAUAUGAUCAUAGUAACUAAAUUCUAAAUUAUUGGACCGACAAUAGUAAAAAAAAAAAAUAAUGUAUGUUUUUUAACCAAAAAAAAAAAAAACCAAAGAUAGAAUUUGACAAAUUCAAGAUUUCAAUAACUCAAAGCAACAAUAGAAACUAAAAUUGAUAGAAUCUUUAAAAGCCAAUAUUGCAAUCUACACAAUAUUGGGAAGAUGUGAAGGAUUUAUAAAAGUCAUAAAUGAAAUUAAAAAAAAAAAAAAGUUUUGAAGGAAUUUUUUUUCUUUUGGAUAAAUUUUUUUUUUUUUUUUAACUUUUGGAAAGAUAAAAUAUUUUCCUAGAUAGAAAGUGUCUCUUUCCAAGUUGGUGACUGAGAUGGCUAAAAUUUGCCAAAAAUCUUAAAUUUAUUUGCUUUAAUUUUGGUAGACAAUCUUGACAUUGUGUUUUUUUUUUGUUUUAAGUUUUUUUUUUGGUGAUGUUGCUAUCCUAUUUUCUUUAUUUAAUAACUAAAUUAUUGGUUGGUUAAUAUAUGGUGAAAAUGUAAAAUUUAUGUAUUUUAGCUAGGUGCAAAUAGAGAUGGUAAACUAACCCAUCUCCGACGGGUUUCGGCUCGACUCGAUCCUAUGAGAUCGAUUUUUUUUUUAUUUGGGUUUCGGGUCGGGUUGGGUUCGGGUUUGCCUAAAACCUGAUCCGAUAUUAUAUAAAAAAUUUUUUUAAUUAAUUAUUUAAUUUUUUAUUUAUAUAUAUUUUUAUAUAAUGAUAUUUUUAAAUUUUUAUAUUUAAAAAGUAAUAUUUUAUAUUUUAAAAAAUAAUAUUUUAUUAAUUUCGGGUCGGAUCGGAUCGGGUACGAUUUACAUAGUAUCGAGGUCGAAUCGAAUUUGGAUAUAAAAAAACAAAAAAAAUUUCGAAUAAAGUUGGAUUCGGAUUUAAUAAAGUAUAAAGUCGGGUCGGGUUCGGAGCGAGCAAAACCCGCUCCAAACCUAACCCGAUGCCAACCCUAGGUGCAAAACUAGUUAGAAUUUGAACGUAAGAUUUAAUCCAAUUAAUUUAUAUAAUUAAUUUUAAAAAAUAAUAUUUAAUAAAUUUAAAUUUUAAAUUUUAAUAUUUGUAUUUUUUUAUUUUUUAAUUAUAGUCUCUUUUAUGAAAAAAAAAAAAAAAAGCUUGAAUUUGACAAAUUUUAGAAUUCAAUAGAACAAAAUAAAACAUUAUAAGAUAAAACUUAUAUCAAUAUGACUAAAAUGAAACUAUAAGAUUUUAUAAACAAUUGUGUAAUUUGUUGAUAAAAUAAAAAUUAAAUUCAAAUAAUUUUAAAUAUAUAUAAAAAAUUUAUAAGUUUUUUUUAAUAUAUAUACAUAGGCUGUUAAAUUAUCUAAGGUUUUUUUUUAAUGAUUAUAUGUAAUUUGAAUUAAGUAUUUGUAAAAAGACACAUCUAAAGAUUAAAUUUUAGUCAUGUACACAUAAACAGUACAUGACCAAGGAAGUGUCUGCCCCUUAUUCUUUUAUUUUUUGUUGCUUUUAAAUUUUUUUUUUCUAUUUUUUACCUAUUUUCUUUUAUAUUUAAUCAAUAUUUUUAUAUAUUUUAUUUUUUAAAAAUGAAAUCCACUUUAUACUAAGCUUUUUUUUCUUAAACCUAUUUCUUUUAUAUGUACAUGACAAGGGGUACCACAUGGCACUCUUUUUUUUAAUUUUUUAUUUUCCCUAUUUUUUCCUAAUUUUUUAUAUUUAAUAAAUAAUUAUAGAUUUUAUUUUUUAAAAGUGGAUCCUAGUUUGCAUCAAACUCUUUUUUUUUUUUUACAUUUUUAAGGAAUACAAAUAUUGUAUUUAUAAAUAAUUAAAAUGUAAUCCAUGCAUGUACCCAUCAAUUAUAUAGAUUUUACUUAUUUUUACUUUUGUUUCAUUUCAACAUGACACCUUAUGUUCCUUUUAUUUUUUUAAUAAACUUUUUUGUCCUUUUUUUGUAAUUUUUUUAUUUAAGAUAAAUUUAUUUUAAAAAAUUAAUUGAGAUGUCCAUGCGACACCUAAUUUGGUUUUUUUUUUCUUUUUUAUUUUUAUUAUUUUAAUUACAUGAAAUUUGUAACAUAUGAGUUGAUAGAUAGGUACACCAAUUUAUAUUUAAUAGAUUUUAAUUCGACUCGAUUAAUAUUUGACAUUUUUUUUUUGGUUUUUAAAAGUUAUUUUUCUUUUUAUUUAUUUUUUUAAUUAGAUCAUAUUUUAAAAAAUAUAUAUUAAUGGAUGUGCCCACAUGAUGUUCCGUUUGUUUAUUUUCUUUUGUAUUUAUUUUUUAUUUUUAAUUAUAUCAAAUUUAUAACAAAAUGAAAAGAUUAAUAAGAAGACAAAAUAAUUAAUAUUUAAUAAGUUUUAUUUGUUUCAAUUCGAUACGAGUAUUUUUGUAAAAAAAAAUCAAUUUUAAAUCAAUUUAAAUUAAUUUUUUUAAUAAAAAUUAAAGAUGGAUCAAAAGCGAAUUUAGUUAUUUGCCCCAAGCCAUCCUAUGAUAUAUAUAAUAUAUUACUUUGUGAUAUAUAUAAAAGUAUAUAUUUUAUUAUUUAUUUAAUUUUUUAUUUAUAUAUGUGUUUAUCCCCUUUUUUUUUUUUUGUUUAAAGCUUGGUAUUAAAUGGAUUCCAUGCACAAAUUUUUUUUUUAUAUAGUUUAUAUUUGUGAAAAUAAAAGAUCAAUUUAGAUACCAACGUUCACCUCCUUUUGUUUUUGUUUUUUAUUUUUUUUUUUUAAUUAGGUAAAAUUAAAAAAAAAGGAAUGAUAAAACAAAAAAAAAUUUAACCCAUGAUAACAUAUGAGCACCUCAUAUAGUAAAUACUAAAGUUGAUCAAAGUCUUUAUUUAAAAGAGGUAAAAAGUUAAUUAUAAAAGUGAUGAAACAAAUAACAAUCAAAUUAAUUUCAAAAUACUAACUUUUCACAAAGUAAUUAUUUUUCAAAAUGAACGUCAUCUUACACCAUAUUAUAUCUUGCUCCAAAGCAAAAAAAAAUGUCAUCAAUGGUAGGAAUGAUACAAGAAAGAAAAACAAGAAGACUAGCAAAAUCCAGCAUCUUUCCAUAAUAUUUUACAAUAUUCCUUUCAAGCACCGUUCCAAAAGAAUAUUCCUUUACACAAAAUUAAAUGCUAAAAAAAAAGAGCAAAGAAUAUUCCUUCCACUUUUUAUUCUUUAGCCUCUUGGAUUUUUUUUUUAUUAUUAUUAUUUGAUUAUUGGUUUAACAAUAAUAUCGGGUCGGAUCAGGUUUUGGUAUGAAAAAAUAAAAAAAAUUUCGAGUAAGAUUGAGUUCGGAUUUAAUAAAGCAUAAAGUCAAGUCAGGUUCAGGGCGAGCAAAACCCCCCUCGAACCCGACCCAAUGCCAACCCUAGGUGCAAAGCUAGCUAGAAUUUGAACGUAAGAUUUAAUCCAAUUAAUUUAUAUAAUUAAUUUUAAAAAAUAAUAUUUAAUAAAUUUAAAUUUUAAAUUUUAAUAUUUGUAUUUUUUUAUUUUUAAUUAUAGUCUCUUUUAUUAAAAAAAAAAAAAAGCUUGAAUUUGACAAAUUUUAGAAUUCAAUAACACAAAAUAAAACAUUAUAAAGAUAAAACUCAUAUCAAAUAUGACUAAAAUGAAACUAUAAGAUUUUAUCAACAUUUGUGUAAUUUGUUGAUAGAAUAAAAAUUAAAUUCAAAUAAUUUUAAAUAUAUAUAAAAAAUUAUAAGUUUUUUUAAUAUAUAUACAUAGGCUGUUAAAAUAUCUAAGGUUUUUUUUUUUAAUGAUUAUAUGUAAUUUGAAUUAAGUAUUUGUAAAAAAACACAUCUAAAGAUUAAAUUUUAGUCAUGUACACAUAAACAGUACAUAACCAAGAAGUGUCUGCCCCUUAUUCUUUUAUUUUUUGUUGCUUUUUUAAUUUUUUUUUAUAUUUUUUCCUUUUUUUUAUAUAUUUAAUCAAUAUUUUAUAUAUUUUAUUUUUUAAAAAUGAAAUCCACUUUAUACUAAGCUUUUUUUUCUUAAACCUUUUUCUUUUAUAUGUACAUGACAAGGGGUGUCACAGGGCACUCUUUUUUUUUUUUCCUAUUUUUUCCUAAAUUUUUAUUUUUAAUAAAUAAUUUAUAGAUUUUAUUUUUAAAAGUGGAUCCUAGUUUGCACCAAACUUUUUUUUUUUUACAUUUUUAAGGAAUAAAAUUACUAUAUUUAUAAAUAAUUAAAAUGUAAUCCAUGCAUUUACCCAUCAAUUAUAUAGAUUUUACUUAUUUUUACUUUUGUUUCAUUUCAACAUGACACCUUAUGUUCCUUUUAUUUUUUUAAUAAACUUUUUUAUUCUUUUUUUGUAAUUUUUUUAUUUAAGAUAAAUUUAUUUUAAAAAUUAAUUGAGAUGUCCAUGCGGCACCUAAUUGGGGUUUUUUUUUUUUAAUUUACAUAAAUUUUGCAACAAAUGAGUUGAUAGGUAAGUACACCAAUUCAUAUCUAAUAGGUUUUAAUUCGGCUAAAUUUAAUAUUUGACAUUUUUUUUCUUCUUUUGUUUUCUAAAAGUUAUUUUUUUUCCCUUUUUAUUUAUUUCUUUUUAAUUAUAUCAUAUUUUUAAAAAAUAAUAUUAAUGGAUGUGCCCACAUGGUGUUCCGUUUGUUUAUUUUUUUGUAUUUAUUUUUUAUUUUUAAUUAGAUCAAUUUUAUAACAAAAUGAAAAGAUUAAUAAGAUGAUAAAAUAAUUAAUAUUCAAUAAGUUUUAUUUAUUUCGAUUCGAUACGAGUGUUUUUGUAUAAAAUAAAAAUCAAUAUUAAAUCAAUUUGAAUUGAUUUUUUUAAUAAAAAUUAAAGAUGAAUCAAAAACGAAUUUAGUUAUCUGCCCCAAGCCAUCCUAUGAUAUAUAUAUAUAUAUAUAUAUAUAUAUAAAAGUAUAUAUUACUUUGUGAUAUAUAUAAAAGUAUAUAUUUUAUUAUUUAUUUAAUUUUUUAUUUAUAUAUGUGUUUAUCCUUUUUUUUUUUGUUUAAAGCUUGGUAUUAAAUGGAUUCCAUGCACAAAAUUUUUUUUUUUUUAUAGUUUUAUAUUUUGUGAAAAUAAAAGAUCAAUUUAGAUACCAACGUCACCUGUUUUUGUUUUGUUUUGAUUUUUUUUUACUUUUUGUAUUUUUUUUAAUUAGGUAAAAUUAAAAAAAAAAAAGAUAAAACAAAAAAAAAUUUAACCCAUGAUAACAUAUGAGCACCUCAUAUAGUAAAUACUAAAGUUGAUCAAAGUCUUUAUUUAAAAGAGGUAAAAAGUUAAUUAUAAAAGUGAUGAAACAAAUAACAAUCAAAUUAUUUCAAAAUACUAACUUUUCACAAAGUAAUUAUUUUUCAAAAUGAACAUUAUCUUACACCAUAUUAUAUCUUGCUCCAAAGCAAAUAAAAAUAUCAUCAAUGGUAGGAAUGAUACAAGAAAGAAAAACAAGAAGACUAGCAAAAUCCAGCAUCUUUCCAUAAUGUUCUACAAUAUUCCUUUUAAGCACCAUUCCAAAAGAAUAUUCCUUUACACAAAAUUAAAUGCUAAAAAAAAAAAGCAAAGAAUAUUCCUUCCACUUUUUAUUCUUUAGCCUCUUGGAUUUUUUUUUGUUCUUUUAAUUAUUGUUAUUAUUUUUUAUUAUUGGUUUAAUAAUUGCAAACAAUUAAAGCCCAACAAUUGCUUAAAGUCCAAUAAUCCAAAUUAAAAAUAUAUAUUUUUUGAGCCUUUAAAACCCAAUUUAAACUUGCAACUAAUGGAAAAGUGAUGAUUUGUCACUUUUUUUUUUUGCUUGAACAAGAUUUUACAAAGAAUAAUAGUAUUUGACCCUAUACUUUUACCCAAAUAAAAUUAUUCAAACAUAUAAUAUUUAAAUUGUGGAAAUUUUAUCAUAAAGAGAGAUAAGAUAAUAAUAAAAAAUUAUAAAAUCAAAAAAUAUUUUUUAUUUUUUGAAUCGAGAUUACAUCAUUAUUAAUGAUAAAAUUCGUUAAUUGAUGAAAUCGUUUAUUUUAUUGUAAAAUAAUAUUGAAUUUAAGUCUUAUCAUCGAAUGGUAAUAAUUUUUAAUAUUUAAAAAUUUGAAAGUUAUUUAUUCUAAUUUGAAGUUUAAAUAUUAGGAUUUAAAAGUUAUUCCACUUAUUAAUGUUAACCAUCUUAAAAAUAAUUAAUAAAAAUUUCUAUAAUUUAAGAUUAGAUUUAUAAAUUAAAAAAGAUAAAAAAGUAGCAUCUUUUAUUUUUUUUCCUUUUUAAUUCUCUUUGGACCACUUUAUACGUACACUAUUGGGCUUGGAUCAAUGCCUAAAACGCGUUGUCACGCGCAGCAGCACAUGUCUGUAAGGGUAUUUUAGUCAAAUCAUACACCAAACCGAUGACCGAACCAACAUCCAGCGGACAAAAGAAGUACUGCAUUUUCACAAUUAAAGAGAAAAAAAAAAUUCCUACCAAAUUUAUUUUUGUUUUGUUUUAAAUUUUUUUCCCUUUGUUUUUGUGUUUCCUUCGAUUUACAUCUAGGUUUUCCUUGGAAACAAACAGAAGAAUCCAAACACACGAAAAAAAAAAAAAAUUAUUCAAAAUAUUUCAACUAAUUAUAAUUAAAACGUAUUUGUUAACAGAAUUGAAAAUCCAACUCCUUUGCCCACCAUUUUUAAACCAAAGGGAAGAAUCUUUCUCGGCCAAACUUUUUUUUUUUUUUUUUUGCUUUUAAAAUUUUUUUAUAAAAUGUCAAGAAAUUUUGAAGCUUGAAAAACUUCGGCGGAUAAACGAUGAGAGAUUCUUCAUUAUGGGCCGAAGAUUUGAAUGCGCCAUCUACUUCCAGCUCGCGAAGGCCCAGGUAAGGAUUUUAUGCGAAUCAAUUUCGCUCUUAUUUUCUGUUUUGAGGUGAAUUGGAUUUGGAUUUGAAUUUUAGGGAUUUUUGAUUCUGAUGGUGAGGAUUCGGAUUGAUUUUUUGGGAUUUUGAUGUAAAUUUAGGAUCUUGUUCGGUAAGUUGAUUAGGAAAUGUGAUUGAAUUUGGGAUUUGGAUUUGUUUUGCAUGUUGAAUUUUGAAAUUUGAGUUGUUUUAUGCUGGAUUUUCGAUUAAUUUUCUAAUUAAGCUAGAAUUUUGUCAUUCGGUGAUUAAAAUAUUUAAUUUGUAGACAUUUUGAUGCUAUUUCCUCAAUCUAAAGCAUAAAAUGAAAAAAAAAAAAAAUGAAUGUUUAUAAAUUGUCAAGAAAUUGCAGCCAAUUCAGAUAUAACAAUAUAUAGAGAAGUGAUGAUUUCUCUUAUUCGUUUUUGGCCAAAUAAGUAAAUGAGAUCUACUGUUUAAUUAGUUCCUUGGAAAAAUGUUUGGUUACUAUAACUUUCGAACGUGCUUCUAAAAGCAACAGUUAUAUGGAUUUUAGGUCUUAAAUAGCAAGGAAAUUGUCUAGGGAAAUGUUAAUCUCUACUAAGCUGAUCAAGUUAAAACUUAAAAAGUCUCCUAAAUUUUGGUAAUUGUGCAUAAAAAACCAUCUAAAAGGCCAUGGAGACAAAACCAGUACAUAAACUGUUAGUUAUAAUGAAUUUAGAGCUGAGGUAUCAACAGAUUUAAAUAUUCAAGUUUUCCUUUUAUACUCAUUUAGUUCCAGAUUAUAGGUUUGAAUUGUCCUUUACUCGAUUUAUAUUGAUUUGAGUACAUCAUUUUAUUUCAUGUUUAUGCUGAAUAAUUUUAUUUGAUGCUUAUGCUGAAUAAGUUCUAUUUAUGUUGCUUGCACUAGCAAUGUCUUUCAAUUAUUGGCAAGGAGAGAAGUUUCGCCACGAACAAAACGGUCAUCACGAAAGCUAUGGGGAGAAGAGUCAAGGAGCCGUCUUGAUUCCUUUGGGCCAAUGUGUCAAGCUGCAAGAGAUGCUAGACGUGAUCUUCUUUCCUGGUAAUACCACUCUUUUACAAUUUCUUUCACAGUUUUGUAAUUGGAAACUACUGAUUUUUUCCUUUUACUAUGUUGUCUGUUCUCUUUGUUGGCAUGUGUGAUUCAUAGGAUUAUGUCCUACUUUGUAGUAAGGAUCCUGAUUAAUUUUAUUGAACUUCAAUUAUGUUGCAGGGUAGAGGCAGAGUCGUUGUGGCAUUUUUCAGCAAAAUACUGCCCAUUGUUGCCUCCUCCAAGGUCUACUAUUGCUGCAGCCUUCAGUCCUGAUGGAAAAAGACUUGCUUCUACCCAGUGAGUUACUUGAUCCUUUAUUUUUUUCCUUCUAAUUAGGUUUCAGUUAAUUUGACCGUAAGUUUGCUACUUAUUUUACUUGGAUUUUGGUCUUUUUUCCUGCAGUGGAGAUCAUACAGUUAAGAAUUAUUGAUUGCCUGACUGGGAAACUGCUUGAAGGUGUUGAGCGGUCAUCGCAGGACACCUUGGGUGGUAAUUCUGUCGAUAACAUUUUUGUUUUUUACAAUUAUUUAAUAUCUACCUGUCAUUUCAGCCUAAUCAGAUGUGUUCAACAAUUAAUUUGUGUAAAAGAAAGCUGCUCAAGUCUCUGCAUUCAUACCAAAAAAUACAAUUGAUUGUAGAGUGCACUUCUUUUGAUGCUUUCAAGAGUAUGUAUUUUGUAAUUGCAUUUUACAGAUCUUUGGGUUCAACACAUGAAGAUAAUGGUAUAAUUAAUCUAUGAUUAGCUUUUUUAGCCAAUUUACUUGAGUCCCUCCUUUUUUUUUGAAUGGCUAACUGAUUUUGCAUAUGGGAUGUUUAUGCUAAAGUACUGCAUCAAUAUUUUGUGCUGCUGGAACUUUUACAGGUUAGAUUCAUCCAUUGUAUCCAGAGAUACUUGCAAGUGGAAGCUUGGAUCAUGAAAGUUCGCUUGUGGAAUGCACAUACUGCUGAGUGUAUAGGAUCACGCGAUUUUUGUAAUUACUCUUAUGGAUUUCGCUUUUUUAAACAUUUCACACUGAGAACAUAUGAUUUGUUUUAUUGCUUUGUUAUUGCUUAAUUUUUCUCUAAUACAUGCAGACCGUCCUAUUGCAUCUAUUGCUUUCCAUGGCACAGGGGAGUCUUGCAGUAAGCUUCAGGGGCAAUACAGGUGAGGAGGAUUGUUCCACUCAUAUAUGCAGUUUUUAUUGGAUUGUUAUACAACUGCCGGCUGACUGUAGAACUGUUUUGUUUAGCUAUAGUAUCAUGGCACUACACAGGAGAGGAGAGACAUCCUCCUCAGAUAUUAUACUGAACACGACGUUCACUUCGAGCUGUACAUUUCAUUCCAUAUGGCAGCUCCAUUUGCUUUGACUGCUGAGGUGAAAAUUUUGUCCCAUCAUAUUGAUUAUGUACUUGAGUCUACUCUCUUGUUAAUUAGAUUUCUGGGCUGAUUUGUAGGUCAACGACCUUGACUCAUCUGAUUCGUCGAUGACAGUGGCAACUUCCUCUGGUUACUUGCAUUAUCCUCCUCCCACUGUAUAUUUGGCAAAUGCUCAUUCUAGUGAUCGUUCUAAUUUGGCAAAUGAAUUACCUCUCAUGUCUUUACCUUUCUUGAUAUGGCCAUCAUUGGCAAGAGAUAAUGGGAGAACAUCUUUGCAGCAUACUGGUGGCGACAUUGCUUCAAAUGUUGUGCAUCAGAGAGGUGAUCAAUCUGCCUCAGUACGGCUUCUGACUUAUUCGACUCCAACUGGGCAGUAUGAACUUCUGUUGUCUCCUAUUGAACCAAAUAGCUCUUCUCCAUUGCCAGUAGAAACAGGAGCCAAUCCUUUACCAAGUGAGAUGGAAACUGAUGUUUCCCAUUCUGCAAUGGAGCCCAUGGAGACAAUGGAGGUGCAGUCAGUGGAAAGAAGUAAUCAUUUUUUCCCUUUUGGUGAUCCAACCUCAUGGGAGCUACCUUUCUUGCAAGGAUGGUUAAUCGGCCAGACCCAAGCUGGCCAGCACAAUAUGCGUUUGGCUACUAGUGGUAGUCAUGAAAAUUCACUUCCAACUGGUGACAUGGAAAGUUCUGCUUUGGUUGCUUCUUCAGGUAUGGCCAAUAGUGUUAGCCAAUCAAGAGUUGCUGGAAGAUCAAGUUCACGGCAUCGUUCUUCACAUUCUCGCAUGAUGUCCUCUAGCGGAACUGGUGAAGCUGGUUAUAGCAACAUCAUGCAUGAUGGUAGUGAUUCUCAACCUGCUGUAAGCAGAAUUCAAUCUGAACUUGCCACAUCUCUAGCAGCAGCAGCGGCAGCAGAACUACCUUGCACUGUGAAACUCAGAAUAUGGUCACAUAAUAUAAAAGAUCCUUGUGCCUUCCUUGAUCUAGAUAGAUGUCGCUUGACCAUUUCUCAUGCUGUGCUUUGUAGGUGUGUUCUUUACUGCUUUAGUUUUGUUUAAACCUUGUAGAUUAUUAGUCUUUCUUAUCUAAGAAUCAUAUGCAUGUACAGAUCCUCAUUUUAUAUUAAUUCUUCGAUUUCCUAGUCCAAUUUGAUCAGGCAGUAUUUCAGCUUCUUCUAAUUGAUAGUGAAAUGAAAUCAAUAGUGAAAGAACUAAUCUCCUUUUGCUAUCUUGUCACUUUUAUUUUCUUCUGUAUGCUGCAAAAUAUCAUUGAUGCAUCUUUUUCAAACUGUUGGCAUCUAAAAACAUAAUUGCAGUGAAAUGGGUGCACAUUUUUCACCUUGUGGGAGAUUUUUAGCAGCCUGCGUUGCUUGUGUGCUUCCUCAUUUAGAAGCUGAUCCUGGUGUUCAGAACCAGCUUAAUUCUGAUAUAACAGGAGCUGCAACAUCCCCCACACGACACCCGAUUUUGGCUCACCGAGUUAUGUAUGAGCUUCAUAUAUAUUCACUUGAGGAAGCCACGUAAAUCUCAAACAUCUAAAAAUCUAUUUUUUGUGUUCCUACCUUUUCUUUCUUCUGCUUACAGUUUAUAUAGUAUCCUUUUGUAAAUAUGAUGCUUCUUUUUUUGUUUAGAUUUGGAUUGGUGCUUGCUUCACGAGCAAUAAGAGCUGCUCACUGCCUAACAUCUAUUCAGGUCCAACACUCCUCCCUCUUAUAUUUUAUGCUUUCUUCUUUUGAUACUUCUAUAGAUAUAUUGGUUGCAUUAAGCACUAAAUAUAUAUGAUCUUAAAAAUAAAUACUGUAUCCUUUUUCUCUGUUGGAAUCCUGAUAGUCUUAAUGAAAGCUAUGGUUUAUUUUAUUUUUGUUCACCUUUUUAAUGGUUUUGAGCUAUGUGAAUCUUCAGCAGCAAUAAGCCUGCCAUUUAAAUGGAUAAGCAUAGUUAGCUUAUAGCAGAGUAUGAGUUGUUGUUCAGUUUGUAGGAGUUCAUCCAAUGAACCUUCAUGUGUUGGGAUUUGUGGAAUUUAGUGGCACGGACUGUCCAUGCAUAUUUAGGAAACACCUGCAUGCUGCAGUUUAUGAAACCAGAGCAAGCCUUUGUACAUUUUUCUUAAGUUGGAUGUUUCCAAAGUUGUAAUGUAUAUAUAUUUGGUUUUCUAAUUUGCAGUUUUCACCCACAUCAGAGCAUAUAUUGCUUGCCUAUGGUCGUCGCCACAACUCACUUCUCAAAAGUGUGGUAAUUGAUGGAGAGACCACAGUGCCCAUUUACACCAUUCUGGAGGUAGGAACAUGUGUUUCCCAUAUCUAUGUGUUCAUAGUUCUGGUUGUCUCAGUUUUAUCAUUGAUUUUAUUGAGAAUUGGUUACUCCUAGAUGUUGAAAGGCAUUUUAAUGUUCCAUUCUGGAGGUAGGAACAUGUCCUCAGUGAUGGUUAUCUAAGGGCCAUAACACUGAAUUUUCAUAUGCUAUGGACAUAUUUGCGGUAGUUGAUAUGUUUGUUACCUUGUCUUUACUGUUGAUAGUUUUUGGGCUGGUGUUUAUGUCAUGAAUAAAAGGUUUGAAAUCUUACUACACUAUUUUAAAUGGAAAGAGUUGAAUAGUUUUUGAUGUACAGAGAUUUGGCAAAUUAUAUCGCUGGUAGAAGUGGGCUUUCUUUUAUUGAAAUGCACGCUUCAAAGGAUUCAUACUCUCUAAACUUUUUUCUCUCCUUCUCCUUUCUUGAAUGGUAUUGCUUUUCCCUAACGUUUUGAUUUCCAUACUUAUGUAUGAGUAUUACUGUUGUGGGUAGGGAUAUAUUUGUAUACUGAAAAUAUACUUAUAAGUUGUGCACUUACACAAAGGAUAUCUUCUAUACAGUUUUGCUUGUCAUUUCUCACAAUGAUUGGAAUACACUAAGGGUAUUGAAAUGUUCUCCGCUUAACCACAGUGCUAGUGUUUCUGAUAAGCCUAUUCUGUAUGGAACCAUUGUAUCUGUUUGUGGUCUUGUUUUAAGAGUAUAAAAUCCCUUCUAACCAUUUUUACUUGAAUUUGGGCAUUUCAUGAAAUUAUUGUACUUCUUCAUUGCUCAGGUUUACAGAGUUUCUGAUAUGGAGCUUGUGAGAGUUCUUCCAAGUGCAGAGGAUGAGGUAAAUGUAGCUUGCUUUCAUCCUUCUGUUGGAGGAGGCCUUGUAUAUGGAACAAAGGUCAGUAUUUGAUAUUCCAAUGGAUCUUCAUAUUUGUCUUUUGUUACUAAUCCAGUUUUUCUAUAUACGGCUGAUUUUUAAUUUCUACAUUUUGCCUCGCAGGAAGGAAAGCUAAGGAUUCUCCAGUAUGAUAGUUCUAGCAGUAUAAAUCACAACACAUCCAGUUUUCUUGAUGAAAAUAUGCUCGAUGUAGGAGGCCCAAGGUUGCAGGUUCAUAUUCUUGUAUCCCUUGAGUUUUACUGAUAAAUUUGCCUUUUCUUGAGUCUUUCCUUUUAUUUCCAAUUUUUCUUGUGCAAAAUAUGAUUUGUCACUUUAAAGUUAGGAUUUGUGCCUUUUGUUCUGAAAAUUUUCUUAAUAUUUUUAAAUGAUUGAUAACAUUGUUUGUGUAAGUGGUAGUAUCUUUUUUUCCCUUUGUUUGGGAAUAUAUGAGGGAGGCUCUUUUACAAUUUAAAAAGAUUGUUUAAACAUAAAAAGUAUUAAUGUUUGGAUCUCUUGAAUUGUUCAUCUUUUUUUUGUUGUAAACUUUUUUCUUUUUGGUCAUUUUGCUUGUGGUAAACUUGCGAAGCCAUAGAAUUUGUGGAAUCAUCAGCCUUGUUCCUGUUAGGAUUGGUCAACAUGGAUCGUGGAGGUUAUGAAUUAGUGAUAUCUAAUCAAGGGUUUCAAAAUAUGUUUUUGACUAUAAAGGUGGAAGAAAUAAGAGACCUGCUAACUGUAUUUUUGCUAUGAAAUUAUUUAGAAGUUAAGAUCAUUUGCUUAGAACAGCUAAAAUUGGGAUCAAAGUUUUUUUUUUAAUCAAGUUGAUUAUUGACUAUCUUGAUGAAUUUUAGAGGGAAAAACCCAAAAUUGUUCUCAUCUCUUACUCAAUUAUCAGCUUAUGCUAAUCUUUGUUUUAUUCUCCUUUUGAGGGACUAGGUUAUUAUUAUACAUCAUUUUCUUAUCUUUUUAGCUUGCCAGACAUUUUGAAUUUGUCUGAUACAUAUACAGACUGAUUUUCUUUCAGUCGGAUUAUUCGGACCGUAUCUCUUGUAGAACAAUUGAAAAGACCCAGAGUUUAUCAUUUUAUCUUUCUUAUCAUAUAUUUGAAAUUAUCGUAAUUUUUUUCUAUUCUUGUAGGUCCCAACAUAUGCCUUGGAAUGCUAGUGACCGAUAAAGCCUGUUCAGUUGACUUACAGCUCGGCAUAGAUGGUUGGUUUCCUCCUUUCUCAUUUUCUUAAAGAAUGAAAAUAUUUCUAUCCAAAUCUCUCUCUCAUACAUAUUAGAGAAUUGGCGGAUAAGUUUUAAUGUAUCUUUUAGAAGUUGCUAAAUUCAACAAGUAAAAUCAGCACAAGCAUAAGACGAAAAUUUGAGAAAAAUCAAUAAUCCCUGAUAAGUUAUGAAAAGUGAAUGCAUUAAGGUUUUUUCACCAUUUACAAAAACAAAGCUGAUUCUACCAACCUUGUCUGUAUCACAGAUUUGAUCUCAUUCCUUGUUUCCAAGUAAUAAAACAUUCGCUGAUUCUAUGUGCUUAUGCUUCAGGACGACAUCAUGGUAUUCUUGUGAAUUUUUUUUGCAGCUAGUCGCCAAAUGAUGAUCAUUCAAUCCCUUACGGCCGCGAGCUACUCAUUCCUGUCCCUUUGUAAAGUUUCUCAACUGGUAGUUAGAUGCAAACAGGAUCUUGUAUUUCUAUUCCCUGUUUCUUAGAAACGCGUGUUUAAAUGGUAGAAACUGAUCUAAAUUUGAGCAAGGUGAGUAGCGAUGAGAAUGACAGUGUUGUAUCUAUAAUUGUUCAGUUUUAAAUGGAAAAUUGCUGGAAAUGCGUUUGGUUUGAUGGCAUGUUUAUUAACAUGAACAGAUUGGGCAAUAUAUUUAGUUUCUAGUUUUGCAUCUUUGUUGUAAUGAAUUCUCAUUCGGAGUCUGUUGAAAAUUUUUUUUAACACUGUUUUUCUUUCAAUUUCUGGCUUCAUUUCAUCCCUAAGUUUAAUCCUGCAAGAGACUUUCUUUAUUCCUCACGAUUUUGUGAAAACAAAUUAGGCUUUUCUGCUGAACCAAAGUGAAUUUCGGAUUAACCUUUGCCCUUUCGAAUCCAAUCGAAGACAACAACUGGACUAACCUUAAGGAUGAAAUUCGUGUUUUUUUUGUCACUAAAAAUUAUGAGAUGUAUGAGAUUUUGUGACUCAAAAUAAAUCAAAUAUUUAUAAAAUAUGAAAAUUUUAAAAUUAAAAGAAAAUAAUUAUUUUAAAAAUUCUUUUAGUAAAUAUUUGAUAUGUUUAGUUAUAAAUUAUAUAAAUUUUAAUUAUACAAAUUUUAAAAAAUUUUAAUUUAUUUUAAUAUAUUUUUAAUAUAUUAAUUUAAUAUUAUUAGUUUUGUUAAAAAAUUAUUAAUUUAGAUUCAAACUUAAUUAUUUAAAUAAUUUUUUUUUGAAGACCAAAGAAUUUGAAAGUUGUCAUUAUAAUAUAUUUAUACUAAUUAAAAUAUAUUAACUUUGAUAUAUUAAUUUAAAUCAUUAAUAUUAUACUUGAUUAAUAUAAAUGAUAAUAAUAUUAUUAAUAUGAUAUUAUUAAUAAUUAAUUAUAUAUAAUAAAACUAAUAUAUUAGAGGAACUAAAAUAUUUUUAAAAUUAAAAUUUUGAAAAAAUUAAAAAAAUCUCAAAAUAUUUUUUAUAUUAGAAGGAUAAAUUUUAAAUUUUAUGCAAGUAUAUGGACUAAAUUUUAAAUUUUAUGCAAGUAUAAGAAUUAAAUUUUAAAUUUGUAUGAGUAUAGGGACCAUUUAUAAAUUUAACAAUUGAUUUUAUCAAUAUUAUUAUCAUGUCAAUAAAUUAAUAUCACAUUAGUAUGAUUAACGAUUAUGUCAGCAUAGUUAAUAGCCACGUCAACUUGGUCAAUGAGCACAUCAGCUAUUUAAUGAAGAUAAAGUAACAAUGUUAUUAAUUGUACCAACAUUAUUAAUUAAAUUAGUACAAAAAUUUAAUAUUUUUGAAUUAUUAUAUAAGGAUUAAAGUUCAAAUUUUAUAUAAGUAUAUGAACUAAUUGUAUAAUUUGACUUGAAAAUAUGACCUAAUUCUUUCUCACUAACUCUCUCAUCCUUGUUCUCAUUUUUUCUAGUUUGUUCUGCUAGUCCAUUUCAACAAUUUUCUUUUCUAACACAUAUUUAGAAAAGAAUUUAAUUAAUAUUGGGUUUGAAAAUUAACUUAUUUAAUUGGAUUUUUUUUUUAUUUUAUAGUGAAAUCAAUGGCUGCUCAAGUUGAUGCAAAAAAAAAAAAAAGUGUAGAAAAAUUAUACCCAAUUGGCUUGAAAAACACAACAAUGUUGGAUGCCAAUGUAUUCCAACAAAUCCUACUCAAUCAGUUUACCAAAGUCUUUGUGUUUUUAAUUGAAAUGAUUAAAUUUUUUUCUCCUUUUUAGUAUGAUACUAAGUGAUGAUGUACUAAAUAAAAAUAUCAUCUAAAUUGAUGCAAAAUUGUUCAAACAAUUGAAAAAAAAAAAUUGUAGAUUUCCCAACUUAAGAGGUUACUUCUCUUUGUGUAAUCUAAGUUAUAAAUAAAAAAUUAAUUAUUUAGUCUAAGAUUGUAUUUUAUGUUUUAUUUUACUUGGAUGUUAGAAAAUAAUGUGAAUAUUUAUGAGAUAAAAGAAAUGAUUAUUCCAUGUUGCAUAACCUUAAAUUUUUUUUAUUUGAUAAAAAAAUUCAAACCCCAUAUAAGAGAAAAAGAAAGCAUACUCUUUGAUUAAGAGAUUUUUGCACUUGAUUAAGGGAUUUUUUCUUUAUCAUAGAUGAAAAUAGGUUAGGUCAUUAACAAAACAUUCAGUUUUGCCCAUUUACAUCAUUUUUUUUUUAGAUUUAAACUCCACAACAGGAGAUAGCAAUAUUUUAUAUAAAAAAUAUUGUAAUAUGAAAAUAAAAAAAUUGUAAGUAUUAUAAUUUAAAUUUUAAACUUAAUUAAGAUAUUCAUGUAUUUAAAGAUAAUUACGUGAAUCAUGAUAUCAUAUAUGGAAAGAUUAAUCUGUGUGAAUCAUUAAACUAAGUUUUGGGUAAGAGUAAUGGCAUUUUAUUCGAUUAAUUAAAUUUUUACAUUAAAAAAACAUUAAAAACAAAGUUGAAUUAUUAUAAUUUUAAUUAUUAUAAAUUCAUAAUAUUGGGGAAAGUAACAUAUUUAUUAUUUAUUUUUUAUUUUUUUAAGGAGAGUACAUGUUAUGGUAAAAGUGAUGAGAGUAUAGAAAUUUAAAGCAAACUGACAAGGCCAAAACAGACGCACUUAAACUUUAAUGAGAAGAACCAGGCAUUAGGAGAACAUUGGGCAUUGAGAAUUGAAGUUCUUUUCAAGCACUUGUUUUUGACAUCCUCAAGGAUGCAACCCGCUGGAUAUAAUGUCUCUUCACAUGUUUUUUGUGCAUCAAUUUUAGGUACCAUUGACACCACUGCAUAUGCAAGAAUAUAAACGUAAGAUAAAUAAUCAAAUGAGCACAAAAAAUUUAUUUCAAGCUAAAUCACAGAUAUGUUGUUCAUAUCAAAAUGCUCUCGGUAUGCACUCGAAUAUUUGAUUUCAGUAAUUAGAUAUGAUUAUUUAUUUAAAGAGUAGGGUUCGAAUUGUUUGAAUUUGAGUUGAAGCUAUAAAAUUAAAAACAACAAACCUGGGAAAAGNNNNNNNNNNNNNNNNNNNNNNNNNNNNNNNNNNNNNNNNNNNNNNNNNNNNNNNNNNNNNNNNNNNNNNNNNNNNNNNNNNNNNNNNNNNNNNNNNNNNNNNNNNNNNNNNNNNNNNNNNNNNNNNNNNNNNNNNNNNNNNNNNNNNNNNNNNNNNNNNNNNNNNNNNNNNNNNNNNNNNNNNNNNNNNNNNNNNNNNNNNNNNNNNNNNNNNNNNNNNNNNNNNNNNNNNNNNNNNNNNNNNNNNNNNNNNNNNNNNNNNNNNNNNNNNNNNNNNNNNNNNNNNNNNNNNNNNNNNNNNNNNNNNNNNNNNNNNNNNNNNNNNNNNNNNNNNNNNNNNNNNNNNNNNNNNNNNNNNNNNNNNNNNNNNNNNNNNNNNNNNNNNNNNNNNNNNNNNNNNNNNNNNNNNNNNNNNNNNNNNNNNNNNNNNNNNNNNNNNNNNNNNNNNNNNNNNNNNNNNNNNNNNNNNNNNNNNNNNNNNNNNNNNNNNNNNNNNNNNNNNNNNNNNNNNNNNNNNNNNNNNNNNNNNNNNNNNNNNNNNNNNNNNNNNNNNNNNNNNNNNNNNNNNNNNNNNNNNNNNNNNNNNNNNNNNNNNNNNNNNNNNNNNNNNNNNNNNNNNNNNNNNNNNNNNNNNNNNNNNNNNNNNNNNNNNNNNNNNNNNNNNNNNNNNNNNNNNNNNNNNNNNNNNNNNNNNNNNNNNNNNNNNNNNNNNNNNNNNNNNNNNNNNNNNNNNNNNNNNNNNNNNNNNNNNNNNNNNNNNNNNNNNNNNNNNNNNNNNNNNNNNNNNNNNNNNNNNNNNNNNNNNNNNNNNNNNNNNNNNNNNNNNNNNNNNNNNNNNNNNNNNNNNNNNNNNNNNNNNNNNNNNNNNNNNNNNNNNNNNNNNNNNNNNNNNNNNNNNNNNNNNNNNNNNNNNNNNNNNNNNNNNNNNNNNNNNNNNNNNNNNNNNNNNNNNNNNNNNNNNNNNNNNNNNNNNNNNNNNNNNNNNNNNNNNNNNNNNNNNCUUCUUUUGUAUUUUAUGUAUUUUAUUAUUAUUUAUUAUUAUUAUAUAUUAAUAUAUGUAUAUCUUUAUUUAUUUAUUUAUUUAUUUUCUAUUAAUAUUUAUAUGUAUUAUAUUUAUAUAGUUAUAUAUAUAUUAUUAUAUUAUUAUUAUUUUUUUCUCUUUUUCUUGUAAUAUUUUUUUUUAUUUAUCUUAUUGUAUUCCUAAUUAUCUGUUAAUAAUUUUUUUUCUUUCUCUUUUCUUGAUCCGUAUCUGAUUCUUUUCUAAUUAUCUAUUAUUAUUUUUUUAUUUGAUUUUUAUUUUUGGAGGGCUGAGAUUAAAGUUGAAGAAUCCCACUGGGAAUGGGAAUUCAAUCAGAAGAGUCCAGUUGGAUUCAAAGAUUGAAUUCCCGUCCAAGGAGGAAUUGGGAUUGAUCAGGAACUCCUGAUCAAUCCCUAUAUAAAGGACCCCUGAACAGAUGCAAACACACACAGAAAAUAGUAAGCAAAGCUACUGAUUUGAGAGAAAAGGAGGCAUAUAGGAAGCUAAGAAAAGUUUAGGAGUGUUCUGGGAGUGAGAAAAAUUUUUUUAGAAAUUUUUGGCGAAAAAUUUUUUUGAAAAUUUCUGGGAAAUUUCCAGAUUCCGACGAAAAUUCUAGCGAGAGUUGAAUUUUUCGGCCAAAUUUUUGGCAAAUUUGAAGUUUUCGGCGCGGUGCCCAGUUUCCGACAAGGAAUCCAGAAACCGAUCAACUUUUCGACGAACAUCCUGCGAAAUUUCUAGAUUUCGGCGACAUCUUCCAGAAUCCGGCACCGGUGUUCUUCAGCUUUUAGAGAGAAGGCAGAGAAAAAGGAAAAAAGAGAGAGAGAGAGAGAGGAGGAGCGGUCUGUCGAAAAACGAAGGGAACUGCCUUUUAUACCCUCCCAAAACGACGUCGUUUUGGCUUUAAGUUAAUUAGAGGAUCCGCGCGUUUUGUCGAAACCCGACCCGAGCGUCGAUCCGAUUCUGACCCGCUCGUGUCUACCCUCCUCCAAGCCGAGCCGAGCCGAUAGCCGAGCCGCUCCAAGUUUUUUUUUUUUUUGGUUUAUUUAUUUAUUUAUUUAUUAGAUUAGGUUUAUUUAAUAUUCUUUUAUCUUUAUUUUAUUUUUAUUUUGUUUUUUAUUUUUAUUUAUUUUCACUUUCAUUUUUUUUAUUUUAUUAUUCUAUUUUCUUUAAAUAAAAAUCAAAAUUUUCAAAAAAAAUAGUUUUAGGGAAAAGUUGAAAGUAUCAAUUUUCCUUAAAAAUAAAUUUCAAAAAGGGGUUUUUGAAGAAAAGUUGAAAGUAUCAAUUUUCCUUGAAAAUCAAAAUUUCUAAAAAAUAUUUUUAGAGAAAAGUUGAAAGUAUCAAUUUUUCUUAGAAAUAAAUUUUUCAAAAAAAUAUUUUUAGGAAAAAGUUAAAAGUAUCAAUUUUCCUUGAAAAUCAAAAUUUUUGAAAAGUAUUUUUAGGAAAAAGUUGAAAGUAUCAAUUUUUCUUAGAAAUAAAUUUUCAAAAAAAAAAAAUAUUUUUGAGGAAAAGUUGAAAGUAUCAAUUUUCCUUAAGAAUAAAUUUCCAAAAAAUAUUUUUAGGGAAAAGUUGAAAGUAUCAAUUUUCCUUAAAAUAAAUUUCCAAAAAAAAAUAUUUUUGGGAAAAAGUUGAAAGUAUCAAUUUUUCCUAAAAAUAAAUUUCCAAAAAAAUAUUUUUGGGGAAAAGUUGAAAGUAUCAAUUUUUUCUACACAAAAACGAUCAUUCUUUCCUUUCUUUCUAUUCUGAUUUCUAUUUUGAUUUUGAUUUGUCUUUAAACAAUCCGACGACGAAGCCUCUGCAAGUGAAACAGUAGUUUUUCUUGCAUACUCUUGAGGUGAGAGAAUUUUCUCAAUUUUUUGCUAAAAGUAUUAGAGUCAAUUGAGAAUAAUUUUCAAUAAUUAAUUACUUGGUAAAAUUUUAAGGCUUUUGGAUAACACAAAUUUAAGCUGGUACCAUCUUUUGAUGGGCGUUGUGAGGGUGCUAUAACCUUCCUCACACGUAACCGAAGUCCCGAACUCUGUUCUGGUUUGUAGACCUGAACCUAUUCUUUUAGGGACCCUUAAACUUAUGUGUUCCCUGAAAGGACAGAUUCUUUAGGUGGUCAAUCGCACCUAGAUAAAAAAGAUUGGUGGCGACUCCUAAAAGUCAAUGUCUAGUGAUAGAUCCCCGGAUCUAGACGUUAUGACAGGAUGUAAAGACAAUAUUUUUAAAUUCUGAAUAAAAAGAGAAAGUAUAUAUGAAACAACCGAAGGAAUUUAUCAUUCCAGGUCAAGAACAUAAGGUUUGUAAGCUUGUAAAAUCCUUGUAUAGACUUAAGCAAGCACAAAAAUAAUGGCACCAAAAGUUUGAUGAAAUCAUUCUUGCUAAUGGUUUUAGAAUUAAUGAGUCAAAUAAGUGCAUAUAUAACAAAUUUGAAAAUGGCAAAGAAGUUAUAAUUUGCUUAUAUGUUGAUGAUAUACUAAUAUUCAACAUCGAUUCAAAACAAGUUAAAGAAACAAAGCAAUUUUUAUCAAAUAACUUUUCAAUGAAAGAUAUGGGUGUAACGGAUGUUAUUCUUGGAAUUAGAAUAAUCCGAAAUGAUAGUGGCAUAAACUUAUCAAAAUCUCAUUAUAUUAAAAAAGUACUUAAAAAGUUUGAUCUUUUCAAUUGUAUUUCAGUAUCUAUACCUAUGGAUUCUUAACUGAAAUUAAUAUAUAAUAUUGGUAGACAAUCGAUCAAUUGUAAUAUGUAAGAGUCAUUGGUUGAUUGAUGUAUACAAUGACUUAUACAAGGCCAGAUAUAGCAUUUGGCAUUAAAAAGUUAAAUAAGUACACAAGUAACCCAAAUAACUUGCAUUGGUAACAGUUAAAAGAGUACUUCGAUAUUUAAAAAAAAUAAUCAAUUAUGGAUUGUUUUAUAGUUAAUAUCCUUCAAUUAUAUAAGAAUAUUUUGAUGCUAGUUAGAUUACUAAUAUGAAAUAUCAUACUUUUACAAGCGAGUAGAUCUUUGUACGUGGUAAGGGUGCCAUUUUUUAGGGUUUUAAGAAACAAACAUGCAUAAUGGAUUCCACCAUGGUAGCCGAGUUUAUUACAUUAGUUGCAACAAUUAAAAAAGCUAAAUGGCUAACAAAUUUAUUAUAUGAAGUAUCUUUUAUGACCUAAACCAAUUUCUCCAAAAUCUAUCCAAUGUGAUAGUGAAGAAACUCUAACAAGGGCAUAUAGUCAAGUAUAUAAUGGAAAGUCUAGACAUAUUGGAUUAAGACAUAACUAUGUUCGACAAUUAAUUUUAAAUUGAGUGAUCAUUAUAAAUAAUGUGAGGUCAAGUGAAAAUUUGACAGACUUUUAACCGAAAGUCCUACUAGAAAGUUGAUAAAAAAAGACCUCAAUAGGGAUUGGCUCAACUCAAUGCUUGGUAUAACAUCAAGUCUUAAAUUCAAUGAGAUGAAGUACAUCAUUUAUAUGUGACUACUAGCACUAUAGUAAUGUUUAAUGCCAUCUUAGGUAAAGUGCUAGGUACAUGAAACGAUAAAGAAAGAUGAGUAAUAUACUUUUAAUAGACUCAUAAUAUAAAUAUGUUAUAGUAUUAUAGUUAUGAGAACACUCUUGAUAGGAGCUACCUAUGUGAGUGUGAAAUGUUGCCACUUCUAAAAACUUAAGAGCUUGGCUCUAACAGCACUCAUGAAAGAGAAUGUAAACACAUGACCAUAAAUGUAUUAUCGAAUACCAAGCAUUCAUUGGUUGUUGAAAUUAUUGUGUGAGACAAGUUUGGUUAACCAAAUGGAAUAGCUAGUUCAAAACAGUCUUUCAUGCGAUUUCAAUUAACUUUAACUUGUUUUCAUUAAAUGAAGGUUUAAAUUAGAAAAUACUUCCAUUUAUGCAAUUGAUUUUCAAGGUCAUCAUAAAUUUGGAUUAUUUUGAAAAUAGUGAAAGAUUGUUAGAGAUUUACAAAAUAAAAUAUGAAAAAUAAUCUCACAUUGAAAAUAAAUAAAUAAAAAUAGAUAGUUAAAUCUGUUUAAAACAGAGUUAUAAGUCUGUUCAAAAUAAAUAGUUUCAACUAUUCAAAAAAUAAAUAAUUUUUGUCUAUUUAAAAUAGGCAGUCAUGUUUAUAGAAAAUAACAUUUAUUUGUUUAUAAAAGAUUCUUUUGAUUUUUUUAAAAAUAUAUAAAAAAAUAAUUCUUGAAACUCUUUUUAUUUCUUUAAAUUUAAUAUUUCUUUUAUAAAAGUUUUGUUGCAGAAUACUUUUAUAAAAAAUCAAUAAUAUUGUGAUAUGUUGGUGAUUGUUCAAUAAAUUAAUUUUAUCAGUAUAAAACGUAAUUAAUUUUUUAAUUUUAUUAUAUUCUUAAAGUUUAUUACUUGUAAUCUUUUUAUAUAUUUACUAAGUAAAUAAUAUGAUGAAUAUAAAUAAAAUUUCAAAGAAAGUAAUAUUAUUACAUGUCUUAAAACCUUACCUAAAAAUUUUAAAUUUAUAAAAAUAAUAAUUUUAAAUUUUCGGUGUUUAUCCUAACAAAUGGUUGGUGCAUGAACAUAGAAGACCGGAAUGAGAUUACGUGAAAACUUGUUUCCCUCUCGUGAGCAUUCUUUCAAACAGCGUUGGCGUCAAAAUUUUUGCAGCCAUUACUUUUCUGUCUUACCUAGCUUUUUGUGUGGUCUGUGUCUCAACAUUUGAGCCAUAGGACACUGAUUGAGAUAAAGAGGGGAAAACCCCUUUUCAUGUGAUUUUAUAACUGUCCAAAACAGAAAAGGUUAAUCAUGUGAAACUUUUGUUGCGGCUGAAAAUAAUGGCCACCUGACUACAAAACUAUAGACUGCUCUAGAGCUCUUGCCUGCUACAGAAAGAUCAGGAUUGGAGAAAGUCACAUCUGAUUGAUAAAUUUUGUCGGACGAAUAAGUAUAAACCACGCAAUAGGUCAAUUCAGAGAAGGAAAGAAACGUGGAAAAAGGAAUACUGAGAGUUGAAUUUCAAGCAAAGCAUCAUCAAGCCUUUUAUUUGUGGCUUAGGUCACAUAAUAUAUUGCUGCUAUAUGUAGCCUUUAUGAUAUAACAAUCAGACAAAUUUGAAUUUGGGCUUUGGAAUUGUUAAUCGGGGACGGCGAGCCUUGCGUUAAUGAUAAGAUUAUUUCUUUGUGAUUAAAAGAUUACGAGUUCAAGUCUUGAAAAUGAUUUCUCUACAAAAAAUGCAAAAGAAAAGCUGCAUAUCACGGACCCUCACCUCAACCUUUGCAAAGCACGGAGCUUGUGCACCGGGGCUUGCCCUUUUGUUAAUGGUUAAUCUAGAAUGCCUUGAUCUUGUAAAAUUUGAGGAACAAACGAGCAAGAAUGAAAUCAAUCUGAUGUUAAAACACUAUUUUAUUUACAGAUCAUAGCAGAAAGCAGAUGUCCCAUCUGAAAAAUAAGGCAAGAGAUGAGAGUCUGAUCUAGAAGUGGACAUGGUGAUUUCUUUGCAACUAUGAUAUUUCCCACUUUGCACCUGUUUUCUGUGGCAGUUCAAAAGACUUUCCUUGGCUGAUGUCCGGCGCAAUUCAUGUUUCAUCUGCAUAAUCUGGUCUCAAACAUCGUUUAUUUCACCUCCUCUUUUAGGCAAUUUUGUAGUGAUACUAGUUAAGAUCAACUAAAUUACGCUUACACCUGAAGAAUUUAGCAGUUCAAACAUCUGAAGAUAAAAAUGGGUGCUGAAAGUCCGAUUUUAACUUCGACAUCAUUUACAUAAGAGAAAGAAAGAGGAUGAACAAAUAGUCCAAUAUAUUAUGUAUUAUCAUGUUAUGAAAAAUGAAAGAGUUUCAACUAUUCGAACAAAGUACAUAGAAUUCCAUCUUCUACAACAAACAUUUUGAUAGCCACAGCAUAGGAAAAAAAAAGCUACAGCAUUGCAUGAUCCCUAAGGAACUGUUAUUGAUCGAACUCUGUACUAAGCUAUCUUACCAGUAUGCAAAAGAUCCCCUUGCUAGUGCAUAAGGGUAACAUCAGCCUCCUGAAUGAAAGGCUGGGUGACAUGCACAAAAUGUUCAGCUUCCCUCUCCACCUGCUCCCAACACCGAUGAGCAUCUUUCCCCUCUUUCAUCUUCUUAACAAAUGCUACAAACCAUCUCCAAUUGUCCGGCUGAAAGAGGGAAGGGUUCAUCCUCAAGUAAGUAAAUGCACACAUUUCCCUAUCACCUGAGGAGCCAUCAAAAUUCAACGAUGAUGCUUGUAAGAUCUUCUCGUGAGCAUAUUCAUCAUAACGGGGCAGUGCAUUUUCCCCAGCAAGGGGAACUUGUGCUGCUCCAGUAGCUAAAGCUACUUGCUUGACUAGCUUCUCAGGUGCACAUAGGGCAUCCUGUGGCUGUUCAUGAUCACGCAUUUCUAUACAAGUGAAAUUGAAAACAGCACCACGACGUGCUAGCAUUUGAGCAAUAGGGAGGUAACCGUCUCGGAACCUUGUGUUAUAGUAACCUGCUGUGAGUUCAGGAGCGUGGGAUCUGGUUCCAUAGUGCCAGUGGAUUCCAGCAACUUUUACAGAGAUCUUCACGCCUGCACCUUCAAAAACUGAAGUCGCCGACGAUAAAACACUCUCACCAUGUUCUAUUAGCAUCUGAGAAUACCAGGAGAGGAAGAAUUCACCGUAGGGACUAUUCCAACCACCACCUUCUUUCUUGAAAAAUGGUGUAUCUUCUGGCCAAUUGUUGUAGUGACCAGCGUCAAUUGGGCCUGUGCUACCCCAUUCUGGCUUACCAGCCGCUUCAGAUGCUGCUUUUAGGCUGCUAAGCAUAUACUACAUUAUACAACACCCAAUUUUAGUUGAGAACAAGAAGAAAGCUGCAACACACAAGCUAAAAUAGACAAAGAGAAAUCACUGCCAUGCCAAAUACCUUAUCAUAACAUUGGAAGGCUCCAAUUCCAGGGAAUUUCCAUGUCCCAUUCUCCUCUGGGUAUGAAGGAUACCGAAGCUCACCUGCCGGACCCAUUCCCACUUGGAUUUCCUGUAGUGAAAACAUUGACAACUGUUUAGCUGCUGAUUGCUUUCAUGGCAUAUGAAACAAAACACAAAUUUGCAAAAACAUACACAAAAUAGGGGAUGAGUAAUUAUUAAAUUACCACAAUGGUAUCUCCAAGGAGAUGUUUGAAGUUGUCCCUAAAGGCACGCAUGAAGUCAGCAUAACAUUGAACAGGUGUACGGCCCUUCAAGACAGGAAUGGUAUCACAGCCAAGUGAAACAUAUUCAUAAUUCCUUCUUCCCCAUUGAUCAGUGUAUGCAAUGUCUGGAUCCUUGUCCAUCUCUUCCCUAACCCACCUGGGCAAAGGAAUACUGUACAAAAAAAAACCACUUUUGUUUUAAAAAAAUGUUUGUUUAUUCCUUACACAAGUUCCAAAACUACAAUCACCUUCAGGAAUCUCAAAUUAGCACAUCCAACAUUUGAUUGAAUGAUUAAUGCAACCUUUCCAAAUAAAUAAAAGACAAUAUCAAAAUAGGAAUUGGCAUCUCCAACUUGGGAGUGUGAUCAUUUUCAUGCAACCCAUAUCUCUGCCAAGUGGGAUCCACCAGGAGAGAUGGAGAGGCAUGAAACCACCAUACCCUCCAUGGAAAUAGUCCCUUCUUCCUAUCUAAUUUUGUACCAUGAUCUAAAAAAGACAAAACGCAACGUAGCUUAUAUUAUUCCUUAUUUAGGCCCCAUUUGAGUAGUCUGUAGGAUUGGCUUCGCUGAGAUUAUAAACAGUAAUAAGAGUUAUUAUAGCUGCGAUCGAAAAAAAAAAUCAAUAAAAAAUUUAUAUUAAAUGGAUAAUUCUGGAGUUGGCAUUUAGGUUAAACUAGUGGUAAAAUGAUUUCAAUCGCAUCACACUAAAAAUGCGAUAAAAUCCAAAUCUAACUUUAUAAAAUUCAAUUCAAAAACUUCAAUUUAAUUUAGACAUGGCAAUUUAUGUAUCCAUUAGAAUCAAACACACACCUGUAACUUUAGCCUUUUAAUCAACAGUGAUCAACGUGCAACUUUCUCCUUGAUUUCCAAAAUUCAUCCAAUUCCCAAAAAAAUAAUUUAAUAUUUAUAUCAUCUGAAUCUAAAUCGCAUAACGUCACAUGACCAUCUUAUUAAAAAAUGAAGCAUUAAAUUUCAAAAGAAAAAUGAGAGGUUAAGAAGGAGAUACGAACGUGCCAAGAGUCACCGACGUUGCCGCCGCACUGAUGGAAACGACAUGGGACAGCCUGGACUUUUGAGGCCAUGUUUCUUAAGCCAUUACUCGGAGCAGCUCGGGUAGAACACCCCAAUCUGUAAGCACCCGGGCGCCUCCCUCUUCCACCAGCCCCCACCAAACGUCAAUCAUUAUCCCUCCACACCCGCGCUUUUCAAUGCGUGAAGACUCGCAUUCAUCGCCUUCUUCCUAUUCACCGUGUUUCCAUUCGUCACGCUGUCCAACGGCAUCAUCACGUACACCGGAACCCCUUUCUUCUUCUCCUUCCUAUCUCCCUCCUUCCACGCCACAGCCGCCUCCUCCUCACCUUUCGCCGUCUCUGGCGGCGCUAACGUUGCGUAGGCCUGGCAAGUUGCUGAAAGGUCCGGACGCAGUGUCGGGCUUAUCAAAGGCGACCUGUUUCCGGCGCUGCGCGGUGUCAGCGGUGGAGUUAACAUAGGUGGCGAUACAGUUUUUUGUUGGGCAUUGCAUCGGAGAUUCACCAUCGGUGUUUUCCAAACUGCCGACGCACUCGUCGUCGCCGACGGUGGUUGUUCUCCUGUGGUGAAUUCAGUCGGAAUUUG
rnacentral:lncRNA from 1 species